AGCAGCCGCGGUAAUUCCAGCUCCAAUAGCGUAUAUUAAAGUUGUUGCAGUUAAAAAGCUCGUAGUUGAAUUUCGGAAUUUGUCGGUCGGUCGGGCUUUAUUGUCCGCACUGGCCUGAUAGAUUCUUACCUUCUGAAUAACCAGCAUGCUAUUAAUUUAGUGCGUUGGGGAAGCAGAGCUAUUACCUUGAAAAAUUAGAGUGCUUAAAGCAGGCUUAUGCUUGAAUAGAUUAGCAUGGAAUAAUAAAAUAGGACGGCUUGGUUCUAUUUUGUUGGUUUCUAGGAUCACCGUAAUGAUUAAUAGGGAUAGUUGGGGGCAUUAGUAUUCAAUUGUCAGAGGUGAAAUUCUUGGAUUUAUUGAAGACUAACUUCUGCGAAAGCAUUUGCCAAGGAUGUUUUCAUUAAUCAAGAACGAAAGUUAGGGGAUCGAAGACGAUCAGAUACCGUCGUAGUCUUAACCAUAAACUAUGCCGACUAGGGAUCGGACGAUGUUAAUUUUUAAUGACUCGUCGCGCCUUAAC
rnacentral:rRNA from 1 species